AAUAUAUCGGAACGUGCCCAGUAGCGGGGGAUAACUACUCGAAAGAGUGGCUAAUACCGCAUACGCCCUACGGGGGAAAGGGGGGGAUCGCAAGACCUCUCACUAUUGGAGCGGCCGAUAUCGGAUUAGCUAGUUGGUGGGGUAAAGGCUCACCAAGGCAACGAUCCGUAGCUGGUUUGAGAGGACGACCAGCCACACUGGGACUGAGACACGGCCCAGACUCCUACGGGAGGCAGCAGUGGGGAAUUUUGGACAAUGGGGGAAACCCUGAUCCAGCCAUCCCGCGUGUAUGAUGAAGGCCUUCGGGUUGUAAAGUACUUUUGGCAGAGAAGAAAAGGUAUCCCCUAAUACGGGAUACUGCUGACGGUAUCUGCAGAAUAAGCACCGGCUAACUACGUGCCAGCAGCCGCGGUAAUACGUAGGGUGCAAGCGUUAAUCGGAAUUACUGGGCGUAAAGCGUGUGUAGGCGGUUCGGAAAGAAAGAUGUGAAAUCCCAGGGCUCAACCUUGGAACUGCAUUUUUAACUGCCGAGCUAGAGUAUGUCAGAGGGGGGUAGAAUUCCACGUGUAGCAGUGAAAUGCGUAGAUAUGUGGAGGAAUACCGAUGGC
rnacentral:rRNA from 1 species